AUCAUAGAAAUAAUAUCAACACCUAUGAAGGUUAACUGGGGUCUGGGGUUUGAUUCAUAUGUGCCACAAGCCUAACAAUAAACUACCCAGAAGCUGGUGAUGCAGCAAUAGCACCAUUCUUCAUCAUUUUAUGCUAUCCUCCAAAGAUGAUGGUCAAUAAUUAUUAGGUCAGUAAAUAUCUACAACUCUGUAAAGCUCUCCUCAACACACCCCUCCCUGAACAUAUUACUCACCCAUCUCGGAACCAUAACCACUAUGAUUGCUUAAGUUUAAGCCUCUCGAAUAUUUACUUUCAUGGAAUAUUACAAUUUCCCUAAAUAUUAUAAAGCAUUGCAAC